rnacentral:rRNA from 1 species
GACGAACGCUGGCGGCGUGCUUAACACAUGCAAGUCGAACGGAAAGGCCCUGCUUGCAGGGUACUCGAGUGGCGAACGGGUGAGUAACACGUGGGUGAUCUGCCCUGCACUUCGGGAUAAGCCUGGGAAACUGGGUCUAAUACCGGAUAGGAGCCAUUUUUAGUGUGAUGGUUGGAAAGUUUUUUCGGUGUAGGAUGAGCUCGCGGCCUAUCAGCUUGUUGGUGGGGUAAUGGCCUACCAAGGCGGCGACGGGUAGCCGGCCUGAGAGGGUGGACGGCCACAUUGGGACUGAGAUACGGCCCAGACUCCUAAGGGAGGCAGCAGUGGGGAAUAUUGAACAAUGGGCGCAAGCCUGAUGCAGCGACGCCGCGUGGGGGAUGACGGCCUUCGGGUUGUAAACUCCUUUCGCUAGGGACGAAGCUUUUUGUGACGGUACCUAGAUAAGAAGCACCGGCUAACUACGUG